rnacentral:rRNA from 1 species
ACAGGGAUUGCCCUAGUAACGGCGAGUGAAGCGGCAACAGCUCAAAUUUGAAAUCUGGCUCUUUUAGGGUCCGAGUUGUAAUUUGCAGAGGGCGCUUUGGCGUUGGCAGCGGUCCAAGUUCCUUGGAACAGGACGUCACAGAGGGUGAGAAUCCCGUACGUGGUCGCUGGCCUUCGCCGUGUAAAGCCCCUUCGACGAGUCGAGUUGUUUGGGAAUGCAGCUCUAAAUGGGAGGUAAAUUUCUUCUAAAGCUAAAUACUGGCCAGAGACCGAUAGCCCACAAGUAGAGUGAUCGAAAGAUGAAAAGCACUUUGGAAAGAGAGUCAAAUAGCACGUGAAAUUGUUGAAAGGAAGCGCUUGCAGCCAGACUUGCCUGUAGUUGCUCAUCUGGGCUUUUGUCCAGUGCACUCUUCUACAGGCAGGCCAGCAUCAGUUUGGGCGGUUGGAUAAAGGUCUCUGUCACGUACCUCCUUUCGGGGAGGCCUUAUAGGGGAGACGACAUGCAACCAGCCUGGACUGAGGUCCGCGCAUCUGCUAGGAUGCUGGCGUAAUGGCUGUAAGCGGCCCGUCUUGAAACACGGACCAAGGAGUCUAACAUCUAUGCGAGUGUUUGGGUGUCAAGCCCGGACGCGUAAUGAAAGUGAACGGAGGUGGGAACCCUUUUAGGGUGCACCAUCGACCGAUCCUGAUGUCUUCGGAAGGAUUUGAGUAAGAGCAUGGCUGUUGGGACCCGAAAGAUGGUGAACUAUGCUUGAAUAGGGUGAAGCCAGAGGAAACUCUGGUGGAGGCUCGCAGCGGUUCUGACGUGCAAAUCGAUCGUCAAAUUUGGGCAUAGGGGCGAAAGACUAAUCGAACUAUCUAGUAGCUGGUUCCUGCCGAAG